UUCAGGAAUGUGCUGAAGUUUUCACUUGGGAAAUUAUUACAAAUUAUUAAAGGAGUGCAAGUAUUUACCCAUAAUGUAAAACUCCCAGUCUUACACUUUCCUGUUGCCUGUGGACUCUGAAACAGUUCUCAGCUCUUAAGAAUCUAAAUUGUGCCUACAUUGAUUGUUGGAACCUGGCUGUGAACCUUAAAGCUCAUCUACUAUGCAAAGCUUGAGAAGAUAGAAGGAAAGUGCUUGGGUUUCCUGACUUAUGCUGGAUAUACCAUCGUCCUCAUUAGAGCACAGUGGAGUCUGACUUUUACCUUUAGUAUACUGAACAGAACAACAACAAAAAUGAAGUUCAGAUAUCAAUUGUUUCAACAGCUUCUUUGCUUUUGGAGUAAGACUUCAAAGCAGUUUCUUAAGUUGCAAAGGGAUCAAGCAAUUAAGUAUUGCUGAACAUUAAUGAAUACCUUAGGACCCAGCUUAAAAUUAUAGUAUUUUACUAUUUUCACUAAGCUCGAAUCUGUUGCAGAAAUAGAGAUAAGACUUUUUGUUUUUAAUUGAUUCAGAGGUGUUGAUAUCCUAGGUUUUGUUUGUGGAGACUAGAAGGAGCAAUUUGCCACAAAGUGGGAAAAAAAAGAACUGCUGUCUGCUGCAAACUGAUCUGUAGGAGAAGCACAUGCAGGAUAGAUCCUUCUUCCUGGCUAUUAUUAAUCAUUCCAUAGUAAGAAUUUUAAAAAAUCCUAUAUAAUCAAGGGAUACAAAUUGAGUGAAUUUUUAAGUUACGUUUAAUACAGAAAUUAAAUAUAGAAGUUACAAAAUACUGAUCUGUGUCUGUAAAGAAAAGCAGUAUAGCAUUUUACUUGGACAAAGUUUGCACAGCAAGUUGUCCUUGCAAUCCUAAGAAUUUUAUUUGGUAUGGAAUCCUACAGUAUUCUUUAAAUGAAAAUAAAUAAAUAAAUACAUCUCA
rnacentral:lncRNA from 1 species